ACAUAAGUAACGAUAAAGCGGGUGAAAAGCCCGCUCGCCGGAAGACCAAGGGUUCCUGUCCAACGUUAAUCGGGGCAGGGUGAGUCGACCCCUAAGGCGAGGCCGAAAGGCGUAGUCGAUGGGAAACAGGUUAAUAUUCCUGUACUUGGUGUUACUGCGAAGGGGGGACGGAGAAGGCUAUGUUGGCCGGGCGACGGUUGUCCCGGUUUAAGCGUGUAGGUGUGUGUUCCAGGUAAAUCCGGUUCACUUUAACACUGAGGCGUGAUGACGAGGCACUACGGUGCUGAAGCAACAAAUGCCCUGCUUCCAGGAAAAGCCUCUAAGCAUCAGGUAACAUCAAAUCGUACCCCAAACCGACACAGGUGGUCAGGUAGAGAAUACCAAGGCGCUUGA
rnacentral:rRNA from 1 species